rnacentral:misc_RNA from 1 species
UGAACACAGUACGCUUAUCAUACAGUUCGUCUGACGGACCCACGAGCAUCGGAUUUGAAGAGCGCAGUCUCGAUCCUGCACUCGGGUUUUUGCCAGGCCAGCAGAUGGGGGCCAUCAACAUCUCAGGCGUCGGCGUUCUCGGGGAGCGGCGUCCAUCGGCUGGGUCGUUCUAUCGGAAUCUUUACACAUUCAGCGACGAUAUAUUCUGGAGCCGCGGCGCGCACUCGCUGAAGUUCGGAACGCUGAUCAACCGUUUUCGGC